CUCAGGUCCUCAACUCCGCAUGGAGCCUUGCUGACCCCCAACGGGAGUCUGGGAGCCCCUCAGCCAUGCCCUCCCUGGGUGCAGGGCCGCCCCCCUCGAGGGCACCGGGGCGUUCAUCGCCGCAGAAGACGCCCAGAGGACUCCUACUGCCCACCCCCUGCAGCCCAGGGGCUGGUCUCUGCCCUCCCGGAGGGUCCUGCCUGCCUGCGACCUGGCAGGGGCGGCUGCCGGGGCAGGAACCCCGAGGAGCAGGGUAGGCCCAGCGACGCCCACAGCUCCCCUGCUCCCUCAGCCAAGCCUGCCCCCCCCAGCGGUCAUGUGCCCAGGCCCCUGAGGACCAAGCCCAGCAGACGUCACGGGCGUCACACAGGACGGGCAUCCGGGGCCACCCCAGCCGGUCCCUCUCAUCGUGACCUCCGGGGGACCCCUUCACCCCCGCCCCCAGCCCCUGCGUGUCGCCCUCCGCCCUGGGCUGGCGGGGUCUCCUGUCUCACUAUGCAGGGGACACAACGGAUGGAAGCCUCGGGAGGGAGCCCAGAGGGGCACGGGGGCCUGAGGGUGCACCCGGCAGACCCGAGGGGGGAGCCCGCACGUCCACCCGGGAGCCGCGAGGUGCUGCGCCCGCUGGGGACGUCCGACGCUGUCCCGCUGCCACCAGGGCAAUCUGGUCCUCGUGGUCACACCCCGAGCCCUGAGCGUCUCGUGUGUGCAGAAGAGCUCCUAGGACACACGCAUUUUAACAAAAUCAUAAACGCCGUCACGUGGCUUGAGAAAUCCGGGAGCCUCCAUCGUAAGGCAGGAGGAUGGAGCUGAAGGACGUCCUGUGCCCGGCGGAGGGAAGCCGCCACGCUCCCAGGCGCCCUGAGGGGCGGUGGCCCAGGGCACCUACGCUCACCCCACGACACUCGACACUCGGCGGCCACACACUCACGUGCAGUCGCACGCACUCCGCCGGGGCAGUGGGAGCAGCGGGCGGCGUCCCGGAGCACCCAUCCCGCGGUCCUGUGGGAGCCUCUGCGGCGCCCCCGCCCCGACCUCGUGGCCGUGGCCGAGGCUCCCGGAGCCCAGCACCCGCGGCAGGAAGCCCCUGACCGGCCCCAGGCUCCCUUCUCGGUUCCCGCUGCCUGCGGGGCCCGGGGGCUCAGCCCCGCCCCGCCAGGCCUCCAGGCUGCGAGCCACCGCCCC
rnacentral:lncRNA from 1 species